rnacentral:rRNA from 1 species
AGAGUAUCGGAGAGGAAAGUGGAAUUCCUAGUGUAGCGGUGAAAUGCGUAGAUAUUAGGAAGAACACCAGUGGCGAAGGCGACUUUCUGGACGAAAACUGACGCUGAGGCGCGAAAGCCAGGGGAGCGAACGGGAUUAGAUACCCCGGUAGUCCUGGCCGUAAACGAUGGGUACUAGGUGUAGGAGGUAUCGACCCCUUCUGUGCCGGAGUUAACGCAAUAAGUACCCCGCCUGGGGAGUACGACCGCAAGGUUGAAACUCAAAGGAAUUGACGGGGGCCCGCACAAGCGGUGGAGUAUGUGGUUUAAUUCGACGCAACGCGAAGAACCUUACCAGGUCUUGACAUUGAUGGACAGAACUAGAGAUAGUUCCUCUUCUUCGGAAGCCAGAAAACAGGUGGUGCACGGUUGUCGUCAGCUCGUGUCGUGAGAUGUUGGGUUAAGUCCCGCAACGAGCGCAACCC